rnacentral:rRNA from 1 species
AGUGAUGAAGGCCCUAGGGUUGUAAAGCUCUUUCAACGGUGAAGAUAAUGACGGUAACCGUAGAAGAAGCCCCGGCUAACUUCGUGGCAGCAGCCGCGGUAAUACGAAGGGGGCUAGCGUUGUUCGGAAUUACUGGGCGUAAAGCGCACGUAGGCGGAUUGUUAAGUUAGGGGUGAAAUCCCAGGGCUCAACCCUGGAACUGCCUUUAAUACUGGCAAUCUCGAGUCCGAGAGAGGUGAGUGGAAUUCCGAGUGUAGAGGUGAAAUUCGUAGAUAUUCGGAGGAACACCAGUGGCGAAGGCGGCUCACUGGCUCGGUACUGACGCUGAGGUGC